GCGCCUGUUGUUUAGUGGUUAGAAUGUUGGCUUCCCAAGCCAGCGACCCGGGUUCGAAGUGUCUCGAAUAUAUCGCGACCACGAAAAUCCCGGCAGGCGCA
rnacentral:tRNA from 1 species